CCAUCCCCUCAAGCUUUGCUUGGCUUGUUGGGCCAGCGUCCAACCUGUGGCUCCUGCCGCGGGGGGACGGGCCCGAAAGGCAGUGGCGGCUCCCGGAGGGUUGGUCCUUUGGGCGGUGAUACAUGGGUCUCUUCAUCCACCGUCCCACGGGUCCUGCCCCGGGAGUCUGUCGAACGAUCGGUCUUCCCCUGUA
rnacentral:misc_RNA from 1 species